rnacentral:rRNA from 1 species
GUACACUCCUGCGGGAGGCAGCAGUAGGGAAUCUUCGGCAAUGGGGGCAACCCUGACCGAGCAACGCCGCGUGAGUGAAGAAGGUUUUCGGAUCGUAAAGCUCUGUUGUAAGUCAAGAACGAGUGUGAGAGUGGAAAGUUCACACUGUGACGGUAGCUUACCAGAAAGGGACGGCUAACUACGUGCCAGCAGCCGCGGUAAUACGUAGGUCCCGAGCGUUGUCCGGAUUUAUUGGGCGUAAAGCGAGCGCAGGCGGUUUGAUAAGUCUGAAGUUAAAGGCUGUGGCUCAACCAUAGUUCGCUUUGGAAACUGUCAAACUUGAGUGCAGAAGGGGAGAGUGGAAUUCCAUGUGUAGCGGUGAAAUGCGUAGAUAUAUGGAGGAACACCGGUGGCGAAAGCGGCUCUCUGGUCUGUAACUGACGCUGAGGCUCGAAAGCGUGGGGAGCGAACAGGAUUAGAAACCCUAGUAGUCCCA